AUUGAACGCUGGCGGCAUGCCUUACACAUGCAAGUCGAACGGCAGCACGGGGGCAACCCUGGUGGCGAGUGGCGAACGGGUGAGUAAUGCAUCGGAACGUACCCAGUAGUGGGGGAUAGCCCGGCGAAAGCCGGAUUAAUACCGCAUACGACCUGAGGGUGAAAGCGGGGGCUCGCAAGACCUCGCGCUAUUGGAGCGGCCGAUGUCAGAUUAGGUAGUUGGUGGGGUAAAGGCCUACCAAGCCUGCGAUCUGUAGCUGGUCUGAGAGGACGACCAGCCACACUGGGACUGAGACACGGCCCAGACUCCUACGGGAGGCAGCAGUGGGGAAUUUUGGACAAUGGGCGAAAGCCUGAUCCAGCCAUGCCGCGUGCAGGAUGAAAGUGCUAUGCACUGUAAACUGCUUUUGUUUGGGAAAAACCCCUGGUUUCUACCGGGCUGAUUGUACCAAAGAAUAAGGGACGGCUAACUUCGUGCCAGCAGCCGCGGUAA
rnacentral:rRNA from 1 species